CUAUAGUGCACUAUGCCAACUGGGUGUCCCCACUAAGUUCGGCAUCAAUAUGGCGACCUCCCGGGAGCAGGAGACCACCAGGUUGCCUAAGGAGGGGUGAACCGGCCCAGGUCAGAAAUGGAGCAGGUCAAAACUCCCAUGCUGAUCAGUAGUGGGAUCGCAUCCGUAAAUAGCCACUGCAG
rnacentral:SRP_RNA from 1 species